rnacentral:lncRNA from 1 species
AGUGCAACAUCCUGUUCUCCUGAGUCAAUAAAUUCAGGCAUAAGAAGAGCAGAAGCAGAUCAGCGUUCAUAUGAGCUAAAUAUUCCCGUGUGCAGAGACAGAAGUAUGUAAACAGAGCCUGCACAGAGUGGGACAUAAACACAUUGCUCACCGAGGGGAUAUUGGAACUUUCCAACACUUACCCUAUGGAUUUUUGUGGAAGUGAGUGCAUCAGCUG